rnacentral:rRNA from 1 species
GACGAACGCUGGCGGCGUGCCUAAUACAUGCAAGUCGAGCGAACCUGCAGGAGCUUGCUCCUGUUGGUUAGCGGCGGACGGGUGAGUAACACGUGGGCAACCUGCCUGUAAGACUGGGAUAACACCGGGAAACCGGUGCUAAUACCGGAUAAUCUUUCUCCUCUCAUGAGGAAAAGCUGAAAGUCGGUUUCGGCUGACACUUACAGAUGGGCCCGCGGCGCAUUAGCUAGUUGGUGAGGUAACGGCUCACCAAGGCGACGAUGCGUAGCCGACCUGAGAGGGGGAUCGGCCACACUGGGACUGAGACACGGCCCAGACUCCUACGGGAGGCAGCAGUAGGGAAUCUUCCACAAUGGACGAAAGUCUGAUGGAGCAACGCCGCGUGAGCGAUGAAGGCCUUCGGGUCGUAAAGCUCUGUUGUUAGGGAAGAACAAGUACCGGAGUAACUGCCGGUACCUUGACGGUACCUAACCAGAAAGCCACGGCUAACUACGUGCCAGCAGCCGCAGUAAGAC